rnacentral:lncRNA from 1 species
GAGACAGCACCUCACCACUGCGAAGACGGAGAUGACCUCUCUGGGCGGCCGGUGUGACCGGCGUGGAAUCCGGAUGGGAACCUGUGAGAAUCCCACCGGAACUGCAGAACAACCCACUCCAGACGCUGCGCUCCAGCGAACCCUCCAUGCCAGGCAGAAAGGGAUCUUCCAACACGAUAGUUUUUGUGACUUUGGAGAAGACCACAGCCCGAGGGUCGCGGCAGAUUACAGAUCUGGCGUCACCCAACUUCAAAACUCGAGAGUAAACCCUUGAUCCCAUUCAGGGAUGCUGGGACGCCAGGAAGACACUCACUUCUGGAAGCACUGCAGAACCUGGCGGGAACCAUGGGGCGUGG